GACGAACGCUGGCGGCGUGCCUAAUACAUGCAAGUUGAGCGAUGAAGAUUGGUGCUUGCACCAAUUUGAAGAGCAGCGAACGGGUGAGUAACGCGUGGGGAAUCUGCCUUUGAGCGGGGGACAACAUUUGGAAACGAAUGCUAAUACCGCAUAACAACUUUAAACAUAAGUUUUAAGUUUGAAAGAUGCAAUUGCAUCACUCAAAGAUGAUCCCGCGUUGUAUUAGCUAGUUGGUGAGGUAAAGGCUCACCAAGGCGAUGAUACAUAGCCGACCUGAGAGGGUGAUCGGCCACAUUGGGACUGAGACACGGCCCAAACUCCUACGGGAGGCAGCAGUAGGGAAUCGUAGGCAAUGGACGAAAGUCUGACCGAGCAACGCCGCGUGAGUGAAGAAGGUUUUCGGAUCGUAAAACUCGGUUGGUAGAGAAGAACGGUGGUGAGAGUGGAAAGCUCAUCAAGUGACGGUAACUACCCAGAAAGGGACGGCUAACUACGUG
rnacentral:rRNA from 1 species